UACGUAGGGUCCUAGCGUUGUCCGGAUUUACUGGGCGUAAAGGGUGCGCAGGCGGACUGAUAAGUCAGGGGUGAAAUCUCACAGCUCAACUGUGAAACUGCCUUUGAUACUGUCAGUCUUGAAUAAGCGAGAGAUUCGUGGAAUUCCGAGUGUAGCAGUGAAAUGUGUAGAUAUUCGGAAGAACACCAGUGGCGAAGGCAGCGAAUUGGCGCUUUAUUGACGCUCAGGCACGAAAGCAUGGGGAUCAAACAGG
rnacentral:rRNA from 1 species